rnacentral:rRNA from 1 species
GACGGAGGAUGCAAGUGUUAUCCGGAAUCACUGGGCGUAAAGCGUCUGUAGGUGGUUUAAUAAGUCAACUGUUAAAUCUUGAGGCUCAACCUCAAAAUCGCAGUCGAAACUAUUAGGCUAGAGUAUAGUAGGGGUAAAGGGAAUUUCCAGUGGAGCGGUGAAAUGCCUAGAGAUUGGAAAGAACACCGAUGGCGAAGGCACUUUACUGGGCUAUUACUAACACUCAGAGACGAAAGCUAGGGUAGCAAAUGGG